ACAAAAUUUAGGUAAUACAUGUUAUUUGAAUUGUUUUUUACAAGCAUUGUAUAGUACAGUAGCAUUUGUUGUGAAUUUAUAUUUGUAUAAUAUGGAUGGUUGUAGUAGCCUUGAUUUAAAUGCCAAUGCUAAUGACAUAAAUUAUUACGACGCUAGCAAUAAAGGUAACAUUAACGGUAAUAUUAACGGUAACAUUAUUAGUAAUACGAACGGCAGCAUUAACGGUAACACUAACAGUAAUAGUAACAGUACUAGUAAAGAUAAAUACCAAAAUGGAAUUAUUACAACAAAUGCAAAAGUUUCUAAUUACAUAGGAGUACAAAAAUCUGAGUCUAUAAAACUGCUAAAUGAAUUAAAAAACCUUUUCAAAUUAAUGACAGUAACAAAAGAAAAAAGUGUAUCACCUAAAUGCUUACUAGAUGUACUUCCAGAAAAAAUUAAUAAUAAUGAUCAACAAGAUGUGACUGAAUUGUUUCGAUAUAUGUUUGAACAAUUAAGUGGAAUAGGUGAAGUUCUGUUACGUUUAAUAUUUGCUGGGUUAGUAAUUCAAAAAGUACAAUGUCAGAAAUGUUUAUAUGUUUCCAAAAAAAAAGAAAUUAUUUAUGAUUUAUCAUUUCAUGUACCAGUAAAAACUAAUCAAAAGUUAUCUGUUCAAAAAUUUUUUGAUAUAUAUAUACAAAAGGAAAAAAUAUGUGGUAAUAAUAAAUAUAAAUGUCCCGUGUGUGAAAAAAAAAGAAAUGCUUUAAAGUGGAAUGAGAUACUUUCUCCCCCUUGCCAUUUGAUUUUGAUAAUGAGCAGGUACAACUGGUCAUUUAACUCCGAUGAAAAAAAAAAAAUAAAAACUCACGUUAAAAUAAAUUCCAAAAUCGUUGUUAACAAAUUUAAUUAUAAGUUAUAUGGAGCAAUUAUACACAAGGGUACCUCUGCAUCUUCAGGUCAUUACUAUUUUAUCGGUUGUAAAUCAGAGAAUAUAAAUAGUAACAAAAGUAGUAAUAGCUGGUAUCAAAUGAACGAUGAUACAGUUACAAAAACAAGUCACAGAUUAAUAAAUAGAAUAUCGAAAGAUCCUUCUAAUGAUCAUACACCUUAUGUUUUAUUUUAUCGAUGUAAGCAGGCACCGCGUUCUCCUUCAUUGCAUUUUUAAUGUAAC
rnacentral:lncRNA from 1 species